GUGGGUAUAGCUCAGUGGUAGAGCACAUGCUUAGCAUGCACAAGGUCCUGGGUUCAAUCCCCAGGACCUCCC
rnacentral:tRNA from 1 species